rnacentral:misc_RNA from 1 species
GAAGCUGCUCAAGCAGAUUGCAAAGGCUUGAUAGGCAGAAAGAGGAUAGCGGUAAUCCAUGGUAAAUAUGUCUUUUCCGAUUUUUCCAAACUGUAAAAUUACUUUUUCUUGUUCCGCGGCAGGUAUACUGUGAGGAGGAGCCACCGCUGCUACUAGCUGGAAAUUUUUUACCGAAGCCACAGUAACACGACCUCUAAAAUUUAGGCACCAACACUGCAA